AAGUAGUUAUGAUCGUUUGAAGUUGACCCUAAAAAUCUGUUUUGAGAGGCUGAAGUAAAACGAGUAUAACUCCUUACUCAGAUGUUGGAUUUGGAUGAAACCAAUUUCAUUGGAAAGAAGACUCAAAGAUCUUUCUUUUGAUAUAUGGUAGCUCAACCAGUUCAUUAUAUUGAGGGAGUUAUGAUCGUUCAAAGUUGACCCAAAAAACUGGCAGGCCUCAGUAGUUUUCCUGCACAUUUACUGUUCACAUCCCGACCACCGUUUUAAAGUUUCGAACGAGCUCGCUUAUAUCCGAAACUUAUCCGUUUUUGGAAAUCUUUAUAUCGUUGGAAAUCUUAUUCAAUAAACUUCGUAUGGAACCAUCGACGGGAAAAUUCCGGUAUAAAUAAAGUCGAUUCCUAUACACCUAUAAUCAAACUAUACACUUGAAACCAUCUCAAAAUAAUCAAUACUCAUACUUAAACUCAUAUAUACCUAACUUAGGAUCAAAACAUAUACUCCAACACAUAUAACAAUGGCUAAUGCACGUAGUUAAGUACGGGGUGUUACA
rnacentral:lncRNA from 1 species